rnacentral:lncRNA from 1 species
AUUAAUUAAUUAAACCCAAGUAAUCAGUUUCAUGUAAUCAACUCCAGUACUGCAAGCACCUAAUAAUUAUAAUAAGAAGCAUUCACGGUAAAAUCAGUUUUAAAAUUUAUAACCCUUUUUUAGUUUCCUUUUCAACUUACAGCCAAAAGAGGCAUCAACUAUUUUUAUUAUUUCUAUACUACUUGCUGCAUAGUCAUAGAACUUAGAGCUCCGGGGAACCUUAGAGAUCAAUUCAUUCAUUUUUACAGAUGAGAAAAAGAGAGGCAUUUAAAAGCAGGACCAGGUCUCCUGAUCCCUCACCCAGUGUUGUUGCCCGUUUAUUGCACCUCCUCUCUGCUGCUAUGUGUGUUCCUACGCGGGAUAUCUUAAGCCGUAUUGUCAACUACCAUUUGAAAUGCAGUUUUCAAAGACUAUUUUGACUAGAAACCUCCAUAUAAAUCAUGUCUAAAUAAUUUGGAAUGUGCUAAUGGAGCUUCACAUUGAAGGCUUACCUCUCAAGUCUACACGUUAUAUUCAUUAGUUAGUGUUUCCUAGGGUAAAGCAUCCCUUACUAAGAAAUUAAUUAAUCUCAAUUAUCAAAUCCAGCUUCCAAGAAUUUGAAAUUAUACCUAAACAAGAAACUUAGGUAAAUAAUUUCCUGUUAAUUAUCCCUUAAAUACAUCUGUAUGUUUAUAGAAAAAAAAAAAAAGUUUUCAGUCAAAACUCCCAGAAAGCAUGUGCUGUUUGCAAAACGUACCUUUCAAUAAAAUGUUAUUUCCUAUUUUGUCAAAUAUAAUUUGCAGUUGUGUAUAAACAACCUUUCCAAUUGCUAUAGAAAUAGUCAGGGAUGGAUUGCACUCCAGUCUUAAUUUUUCAUUUCCUUAAGUAAAAUUCAUAGUGUAUGAAGAAAGCAGCUAAAAGGAUAUAUACUUCAAAGAUGCAAUUUUCUAUUUUGUUUUUAUAAUACUUUCCUAAAAAUGAAGCAUCUUGUGUCAAAUUCAAGAAUUAGCACUAACUUUAAAGAGGCAUUGUUUCACUGUUGAGUGGUGAAACAGUACUCCAGAAAAAGAAUAAAACUGUCUGAUAAGUGUCACAAAAGUAAACUAAAGUUAGCAUUAAAAACUGUAAAAAAGCAAACAAGCAAAUAACCAAAAAUCUCCCUGAUAGAAAUGUUUCCUUGGUUACUUUUGUUUCCAGUUUUGGUUUUUAUUCAAUGGGAAGAUAGUUUCAUUUAUGUAACCAUUAUAUAGUGUCAUAUAAUAAAAUAUGCAUUUAUUUCUGAAAAUAAUAUUUCAAAUUGAAAGUAUGAGGC